UGCAGGGUUGGGGUAGGGCGGGCACGGGCAGAGGAACUGGAGACUGAAGGGCUGCAGGGACCUGGUGGGGAGGAUACAGGAAAGGAGAUGGGAAAGAGUGCAAACGGAUGGCAUGAAGGAAGGGAGGGAUCCAAACAGGCCUCUGGACGCUUGGAGAGACACAGACUGCAGCAGUAUUUAUAGGUUGUGAUGACAUCUUUAUAUUGAUUUCUCUCUUCUUGUGGAGAAGGAAGCAUCUAUGGGGAAUAUAUACCUUGGAGUAUGUUAUGGUGGUUUUCCCUUCACAGGAGAAGCCACUUUGUUUCUGUUAAGGAAGCAGCAAAAACUCAGUUGCUUCAUGCACUGAUUUUUGAACACUGCCCAGAUGAGCUGUGAAUGUGCCUUAGGUUCACUAAAGAAUUUUUAAAAGACUUGCAAAGUCAAGUCGUGGCAGUGAGUUACCAAACAACUCCAGUGCUGCUGUUAAUGUUGAUGAAAUUGUAUUAAGCAACACCAAAGCAUCCUGAGGGCUUAUGUGGUACAUGACUCUAUAGAAAUCACAAAUCAGUAUGUAAGUCCAAAGGUUUGUUUAAUAAAGUUGGUGCUCCCUGGAAAAA